rnacentral:rRNA from 1 species
AUUGAACGCUGGCGGCAUGCCUUACACAUGCAAGUCGAACGGCAGCGGACCUUCGGGUGCCGGCGAGUGGCGAACGGGUGAGUAAUGCAUCGGAACGUGCCAUUGAGUGGGGGAUAACGUAGCGAAAGUUGCGCUAAUACCGCAUAUUCUGUGCGCAGGAAAGCAGGGGACCGCAAGGCCUUGCGCUCUUUGAGCGGCCGAUGUCAGAUUAGCUAGUUGGUGAGGUAACGGCUUACCAAGGCGACGAUCUGUAGCGGGUCUGAGAGGAUGAUCCGCCACACUGGAACUGAGACACGGUCCAGACUCCUACGGGAGGCAGCAGUGGGGAAUUUUGGACAAUGGGGGCAACCCUGAUCCAGCCAUGCCGCGUGAGUGAAGAAGGCCUUC